rnacentral:lncRNA from 1 species
CUACGCAAUAUUACAGCAUACACGACAUAAAAAAUAGCAAAGAAGCACAAUUCAAUAAUCUCUGAUGGAAGUGAUUCAACAUAAUGUAUCUAAAAACCCAAAAAAAGGAAAAAAAGGGUAAAACAAACAUACGGUAGUAUUGCUUUGCCUUUCCAAGGCAAGAUGAGAAAGAGCAGUUCACUGUAAUUUCGUUUUCUUCACCCCCGUAGGAAACAUAAGAGAAAGAGGAGUCACAUGAGGAGAGGAUAAGAGAGGUAGUAUUCUUUGAUGAGAUACAGCAAUAUGAGUUUAUUGUCAUUCCGUUUUCUCACCUAAAGUCGUUUUCUUCACCUAAAGUGAGAAAGAGGACCCAAAGAAACAUAAGAGAAAGAGGAGGAC